UACAGAGGGUGCGAGCGUUAAUCGGAAUUACUGGGCGUAAAGCGCGCGCAGGCGGUCUUCCAAGUCAGUGGUGAAAGCCCGGAGCUCAACUCCGGAACUGCCAUUGAAACUGUUGGACUUGAGUACGAGAGAGGUGAGUGGAAUUCCCAGUGUAGAGGUGAAAUUCGUAGAUAUUGGGAAGAACACCGGUGGCGAAGGCGGCUCACUGGCUCGUAACUGACGCUCAGGCGCGACAGCGUGGGGAUCAAACAGG
rnacentral:rRNA from 1 species